UACAGAGGGGGCAAGCGUUGUUCGGAAUUACUGGGCGUAAAGGGCGCGUAGGCGGCCUGCUAAGUCGAACGUGAAAUCCCCGGGCUCAACCCGGGAACUGCGUCCGAUACUGGUUGGCUUGAAUCCGGGAGAGGGAUGCGGAAUUCCAGGUGUAGCGGUGAAAUGCGUAGAUAUCUGGAGGAGCACCGGUGGCGAAGGCGGCAUCCUGGACCGGCAUUGACGCUGAGGCGCGAAAGCCAGGGGAGCAAACGGG
rnacentral:rRNA from 1 species